rnacentral:rRNA from 1 species
UACGUAGGCAGCGAGCGUUGUUCGGAGUUACUGGGCGUAAAGAGUGCGUAGGCGGUUUUCUAAGUUUGGUGUGAAAUCUCCCGGCUUAACUGGGAGGGUGCGCCGAAAACUGGAAGGCUUGAGUGUGGGAGAGGUAAGCGGAAUUCCUGGUGUAGCGGUGAAAUGGCGUAGAUAUCAGGAGGAACACCUGUGGUGUGAGACAGCUUACUGGACCAUGACUGACGCUGAGGCACGAAAGCGUGGGGAGCAAACAGG